UACGGGGGGGGCAAGCGUUGUUCGGAAUUACUGGGCGUAAAGGGUUCGUAGGUGGCCUACUAAGUCAUACGUGAAAUCCCUCAGCUUAACUGGGGAACUGCGUCUGAGACUGGAAGGCUUGAGUGCAGGAGAGGAACGCGGAAUUCCAGGUGUAGCGGUGAAAUGCGUAGAUAUCUGGAGGAACACCGGUGGCGAAGGCGGCGUUCUGGACUGCAACUGACACUGAGGAGCGAAAGCGUGGGGAGCGAACAGG
rnacentral:rRNA from 1 species